GGGCAGGUGUCCAGCAGAAUUUAGCUCCAACCCUAAUUAAACACACCUGAACAAGAUAAUCAAGGUCUUAUUAGGCAAUAGGCAUACUAGAAACUUCCAAGCAGUUGUGUUAAGGCAAGUUGGAGCUAAACUCUGCAGGACACCGGCCCUUCAGGACCAAAUUUGGAGACCCCUGGUGUAUCUACUAAAUCAGCGUAAUUACGUUAUUGAAUCAUGUCCAAAAUUAUACCCUUUUUACUACGGAGGAGACUAUCGCCAUUUCCCGCCGAUUGGACUGCAAGCAAGAUUCCUGAGCUACCCCUUCACUGCAGACAAGCUGAAGGCUAAAUCCUCAUUUGGAGUCUUUCUGGAUCUCAUAAUCUUUGGACAGAAUUUAGGAUAUGUAAGUAUUAAAAUUAAAUCUGGUAUAAUUUAGUUUACGGUUCAGCUGAAAUGUUUGUAUAUGUUAUUGACAAGCUGUCACUUACAAAUAUAUAUUCUUAUGUAAAAUACUUUUGGCCACAAGUGUAAUGAUUAUGAAGGUGAAGUUAUGUCAUUUUAUCUAAUGAGAUGAAUACAACUGUUUUGGCCUGUGUUGGACAUUUCCCUUUUGACUGCUUCAAAUUUUACAUAUUCUGCAGUUCUAUGAAUGUAAUUCUUGAAAUUUCAUCAUAAUAAAUAUUUUGACAAUGA